rnacentral:misc_RNA from 1 species
AAAGUCGUAACAAGGUUUCCGUAGGUGAACCUGCGGAAGGAUCAUUACCUAGAGUUUGUGGGCUUUGCCCGCUACCUCUUACCCAUGUCUUUUGAGUACUUACGUUUCCUCGGUGGGCUUGCCUGCCGAUUGGACAAACUUAUAACCUUUUUAAUUUUUAAAUCAGCGUCUGAAAAACUUAAUAAUUACAACUUUUAACAACGGAUCUCUUGGUUCUG